GGCAGGAGCCCUGUGUCAAAUUCAGUCCUCAUCCAGCCUGUGCUGGGACUGGCCAAACAGCUGCCACAGCACCAGCUGUAGCUUGUCACCCCCACUGUCCCUUUGCCUCGACCCUGGGGAGAAAUAAAUGCUUCAGCCACCA
rfam:Caprimulgus carolinensis contig100927, whole genome shotgun sequence.